rnacentral:lncRNA from 1 species
CGUUUUUAACGUUUGUUCGAAAUACGUCACGCAUGACGAAUCGCAGUUCGAUUGUGUUUCUUGUUGCUUUCGGACGUGCUUUUGUUCUGCUCUUGGAUUGCGUUGCUUUUUUUGCGGUUUGUGCACUUUUGCGGAGAGGAUUCAAGAUUUUUUAGGAUGAAGACGUUGCUGCGUUGUUGGAGGCGGUUCCGGCGGAGGCAGGCGGUGGCGCCGGAGGGAGAGGGUUCCUCGGACGACGCGGAACGAGUCUGUCGUUCCGUGCCGUCCGAGGAGCGACAGGCAGCGGGUGAAGAAGGCCUUGGCCAAGUGCGCGUGGCGUGGCAUCCUCCCGGAGUCGGGAUGAUGCGACGCUACACCCAGGGCCCAGUGCGCUUGGCCGAGGUCUUCGGGGGUCAUCCGGCCACAGACCUUGCUGUGGAGGAUGUCGAAAGUGACAGCUCGUCCGAGCUGACACUUUCUGUUUGGUCGUGUUCUGCCCGUUCGUCCGCGACGGCGACGCCACCGCCUUGCCGAAGUCGGGACGGGGAGGAGUCGGAGGAGAGAGCCCCCGAAGUCGAGGGACCGUGCUGUCCGUGGUUUAGUUGCUGCGGACGGCUGCGGUUGCCUUGGCCUAGGCGGUGAUCUUCUUCGAUUUCCUCUUCUUCACCCGGAUGCGACUUUCUUACCGGAUUCGACACUUUUCACCCGGACAUGACACUUUUUAACGGACGUGACCUCUCUUACCCGGACGUGACCCACGGACUUGACACGUUUCUUCACCGGACGCGACAUUCGGCCGACCUUUCUUCCCAAACAGCUGUUAUGAGGAUUGAGCUUCCGGUUAGGGUUCGUUAGGUUAGCCUAGGCUAGGUCGGGUCCUUCGCUCUUCUCAUAACACUGUUCGGGAAGAAAGGCUGUCUAAUUAAGGAACAUUUGGGAGGGAGAAGGAUCUCCCUCCCCAACUUUACCACGAAGAGGACCAAGAAGUGGCCAUUUAUCGCACAAGUGAAUAUUUUCCGAUGACGUGCCGAAGAUGUUCUUCGAUCACACACAUACACACACACGCACGGACAUAACAUCACUGUACACGAAGAUAUACAGCGUUUAACUUUUACUCGAAUUCUCGCACUCACGCAUUUACACGUCAAGCGCCUCGUUCUGUGUAAUUCGACACAAUGAAACAACCCGAACACACGCUUCCCACAAAUCCAACCCCUGGGUCCUCGUCCCGGGAAGUGGAAACGCCAAUUUUAAAGAUUAAAAGACUUUAAAUUGGCGGCCAAAGUGGCUCUGGUAAUCACACAUCUUGCAUUGAUUAAAUGGAAUUUCACACGUUCGCAUCAAUAAUCGCUUUGUUGUAAUCCUACAUAUUUUUGGUUUCUCAAGAUCCACGAUGUGGGCUGCCGAACUGUAUGGAACGGGUCUUGACAGACCGCCCUGGGUUCUUCAACAGUUCGAAUCGAUGUCACAGCGGUAGAUCGAAGUCUUAACCGUUCAAACAUCCGGCUGUCACCUUCUUAUACUAGGUGUUGAAAGUAUAACAAGUAGAGACACUUGCAUAUAAACAGUUUCUUAUUGUACACUAGACACUUGCACAUAAAUUGUUUUUAGUUGGUCGGCACUGUACUAUAUGUCUUACACACUAUAUUAUUUCGGUGAGAAAUUGCCAUUCGAUGUAUACCAUUUUGUUCACGACUCGUUUUCGGUUUUAUUGCCACUUAUUUGUAGCACGACUGGCAGAUUGCCGGACUUCAAAGAACUUGGGUAAAGGUUAUACAU